rnacentral:lncRNA from 1 species
GCGCUUCCUCUGAAAGUUAGGAAAGAUGGGAAAGUAUAUGAACUAAAAUCGUUAGAGUCAUGGACUAAUGUGAACAUAUUACAGAUUUUGAAACCCUGGAGCAAGAGUAUUUUUGGAUUGUGAGAGAUCUAGGUUUGGUAGAAAAAGAGUUUCAUGUAGUGAGUGAACAUAAGCAGAAGCUGAGGUGGUGGUGAGUAGGCGAAAAGAUUAUCAGGAGAAUUUUUUUUUUUUAAGAGAAAUACAUAAUUUCCUAAUUUGUUGUUUUUAAAAACUAGAGUAGAUACGUUUACUGAAAACUCACAGUUUGAUAUUAAAAGAGGGGAACUGUACUCUGACAGCUUGUCUGCUUGGUGCUUCUGUGAGGGGUGUGAAAAUCAGAGGUGGAGGGACCAGGAGUGGAACCCAAGGUGAACCUAGUGGAAUAUGUUUUCUCUUUUCAAAGCAACCCACUUCCUUGAUCUUUGGUUUAGGUUUAGACAAGUCACUUCCCUUCUUUGGGUCUCAGUUUCUGCUACAAAGUGAGGAAAUUGGAUUGAUUUUGGCUUCCCGUAGGGUUGCCAGAUAAAAUACAGAACAUUCAGUUAAAUCUGAAUUUUAGUAAACAGUGAAUGCAUUUUUUUUAGUAUAAGUAUUGCAUAGGGCACGCUUUACUAAAAAAUUCAUUGCUUAAUGUGAAAUUUAAGUUUAACUGGCCUUACUGUAUUUCUGUUUGCUAAAUCUGGCAACCCCAGCUCCAACAAAAAGUUUUGUCUUCUUUAAAUUAGCUUCAAGAAGAUAUUGUAGAUGCAUAGACAAGAGUGAAUUGAUUCAGCCAGUCAAGGCCCCUUGGUUGUUAUCAGUAGCAUUAUCUAGCUGUUGAAGAAUAGAUCUGUUUCACUGUGUCUCUUUUUUUCCCUUCCAUGUGGCAGUUCCUUUUCUGCUGUAAUCACAUAGUGUUUAGGUUUAUACUUUUGGUAGUAAACAAUUUAAAUAACUGAAAGGAAAGAAAGUUGCCAAAAUAUUAAAAGUGACAAUUUAUAAUCCUAUUUAUUCUUCAGUUGUGGUUGACCUCAAGGCAUUUUCUAAAGUGGUGGACUGUUCUGGUGGUAAAUAAUCCUUUAGGAUGUUCUUAGGCCUUUGGCUGCAUGAAAAUAUGGAAAUGACUGGUAUAUAUGCUAUAAACCUUUAAUUUUAACUAUUUGUCAGUUUUAUAUUUGCUAUAAUUUGAAGAUUUUCAAUGUUGAGAUUCUUUUUCAGGGAGUGUAAUUUUUAAUUCCUCAUUUUUGGAAUUUUUUUUUUUUUUAAACUAGGCCUGAUCUGGUUUCAUUGCUUAACUCACUCUGAAAUUCCUGACUUUUCUAAUUAAUUUAUUCAUUUAACAGUCUACAACAACAAAAAAAUGAGUGCCUUCCAAGAGCCAGGUUGAUGAGGUUGAUGUGUUAUUUUAGUUCUUCGGGUGCUUAUUCUGAUAGAGGAGUUAGAUCACAUGCAAUCCAGGGAUAAUGUGAUGAGGGCCUUUAAGUGAUACAAAUGCUAUGGAAAUUGAGAGGAGGAUCAGUGCCCAUCAUGUUGAUAGAUUGUAUGGCAGAACUCCUUGAAGGAGGUGGUAUUUAAUCCAGGUAAUGGUGGUUAAGGUAAGGUGAGGAAGACAGGUUUACAAAAAGGUGGGAAGAAGCGAGAAAGGGCAGGGGAAUCCACCUGCUCAGUUCUACAAAGCAUACACGUGGUUGGAUUGAAAAUAGUUGAUACUAUUGUUUACAUGUAGUUUUUGAUUCACUCUUCAUCUGCAUUAAGUAUCUUAGUAUGGAAGUACUUCAGGGUGUAUCUAUUAUUAGAUGCACUUCAGAUGUCAGUGGAAAAAUGUCUAUGAAAUAUGUCAUGCAUACAAAAAUGUAUAAUUUGUAUAUGUAAAGCUAAAAAAAUACACCUUUACCAUAUCAUUGAAACCUUCCGGAUUGGACUCCCACUUCCUUCCUCUCAGAAGUCACCACCAGACUCAAUUCUGUAUCUACCAUUUCUUUUCUUUUUUUGAUAGUCCUUACAUGUAUAUAUGCUUCUAAAACAUUGUUUAUUUUUGCAUAUUUAUGCAGUUGAUGUAAAUGGAAUCAUGCUAUGUAUAUUUUUUUCCUGUGACUUUUUCCACUUAGGAUUAGGUUAUUGUAUUUCAUCCAUGCUGUUUUUUCCCCAAGGUUCCAUCUGUGCUGGUUUUUUCCAAGUGUAAGGAUUUCCCUGAGGGUAAACACCUAGGUUUGGAGUUGCUGCUUGUAAGUUGUGCAUAUGUGCAGUUGUACUAAAUAUCACCAAAUUGCUUUCCCAUGUAGUUGUGCUAACUUACUCUCCUACCAGCAGUGUAUGAGCGCUCCUGUUGAUGUCCUGUCUGUGUGCUCCCCAGUGCUCAGAAUGAGCAA